rnacentral:rRNA from 1 species
GUGCCAGCAGCCGCGGUAAUACGUAGGGGCCGAGCGUUGUCCGGAUUUAUUGGGCGUAAAGAGCGUGUAGGCGGCCGCUUAAGUCCUGCGUGAAAUCUCGGAGCUCAACUCCGAGCGGUCGUGGGAAACUGGGCGGCUAGAGUGCGGGAGAGGAGAGUGGAAUUCCUGGUGUAGCGGUGGAAUGCGCAGAUAUCAGGAAGAACACCCGUGGCGAAGGCGGCUCUCUGGAACGCAACUGACGCUGAGACGCGAAAGCGUGGGGAGCAAACAGGAUUAGAUACCCUGGUAGUCC